rnacentral:rRNA from 1 species
UACGGGGGGAGCAAGCGUUGUUCGGAUUACUGGGCGUAAAGGGCGCGUAGGCGGCCACCGCAAGUCGACUGUGAAAUCUCCGGGCUUAACCCGGAAAGGUCAGCCGAUACUGCGGGGCUAGAGUGCAGAAGGGGCAACUGGAAUUCUCGGUGUAGCGGUGAAAUGCGUAGAUAUCGAGAGGAACACCUGCGGCGAAGGCGGGUUGCUGGGCUGACACUGACGCUGAGGCGCGAAAGCUAGGGAGCGAACGGG